UAGGGAAUCUUCGGCAAUGGGGGCAACCCUGACCGAGCAACGCCGCGUGAGUGAAGAAGGUUUUCGGAUCGUAAAGCUCUGUUGUAAGAGAAGAACGUGUGUGAGAGUGGAAAGUUCACACAGUGACGGUAACUUACCAGAAAGGGACGGCUAACUACGUGCCAGCAGCCGCGGUAAUACGUAGGUCCCGAGCGUUGUCCGGAUUUAUUGGGCGUAAAGCGAGCGCAGGCGGUUUAAUAAGUCUGAAGUUAAAGGCAGUGGCUUAACCAUUGUUCGCUUUGGAAACUGAUAAACUUGAGUGCAGAAGGGGAGAGUGGAAUUCCAUGUGUAGCGGUGAAAUGCGUAGAUAUAUGGAGGAACACCGGUGGCGAAAGCGGCUCUCUGGUCUGUAACUGACGCUGAGGCUCGAAAGCGUGGGGAGCAAACAGG
rnacentral:rRNA from 1 species